GCCUUAGCAACCGAUCCUGGCCGAAUCAAACCCAACUAGGCGGGGUCCGACUGACCAGAUUUGAGAAUGAACUGGAAGAAGAUCAGCCUUGAGGCAAGGAAAUGAAAAUGAACCUUCUCCAAGUGACUAGAUUCAAUCCCAACUUCCCACUACAAGUGUCCUCUGUUCUCUCUCUUGGUGUUGCAAGGACAAACCUCACCAACACGUCAUGAUUUCAGGGUCCUGGGAUCAAGCCCUGUGUCAUGCUGUUUGUUCAGGAGGAAGUCGGCUGCAGAUUCUCUCUCUCUCUCUCUCUCUCUCUGUGCC